UUGGGGCUGGGCUGGGGGCA
rnacentral:miRNA from 1 species